CAAUCAUUUGCAUCACCAUAUUUGCCUCGCACAUUUAAACAUGUGACGCAAUUGACAGUUUUAAGCAUUAAAAUUAGUCAUUUGCGUCGCAGAAUUACUAAUCUGCGACGCAGAUGACUCUAAGAUGUUCUUAAAGUCAUUUGCGUCGCAGAUUAAUAAUAAUGCGACGCAAAAUAUUACCUCCUUUGCGUCGCAGAAUUACUAAUCUGCGACGCAGAUGACUCUUAGAGUCAUCUGCGUCGCAGAUUUACUAAUCGGCGACGCAAAGGAGGUAAAAAAUUUUCGGUUUCUAAUUAAAAUUUAAUUAUUACCUUUUCCUUUUCUUUUUUAAUUUGGUGCGACGCCCUGCUCCCAUUCCCUUUCUCCCUCAUACAUUUCCUGCCUCCCCAAACUCUUUCUCUCUCAUAAUUUCCAGAUCUCCAUUGUUGAAAUUCCAAAGCUUCUCUGUCUCUCCUUCAGAAUCAGUAUCGAGCUUUCCCUUCAAAGUCUCCUCUCACCAAAUCAUCCCAAUAUCUCAAAUUUGUUUUAAAAUUCAAGCUUAGCGAAUACGAAGGAGGCAAACCCAGAUCUGAAAGCGAUGACGUCUUCAGCCGGAUUUCAAGCCGCAUUCUCUGCAAACUCCAGCUCUGAGGUGGAUGACUCGGCGGCGACUCAUCUGGGUGCGGUGGAAGUGGGGCUGAGUUUUUGGGGAAUCUGUUGAGUCGACUCAGACCGAGUUGGUCCCGAGUUACACCGCCAUAACAACGCCGAAGUGUUGGUGCUGGAGUUUCGGUUUUUAUCGCCACCGACCUUGAAUACCUUGUUUCGAUCUAAAGGCAACCCUGCAGUAGAAGCAAGAACUUAAUAGACACACAUAUGCCACAUAUAUGACAGAAAAAACAACUAAUUUAGUCUUUUGGAACCUUGAAGAAAUCUUCGCUGACAUCUUACAGUCUGAACUCAGCCCAUAGAACAGUAGAGGAUGUAGAACUUGGACCAGACUGGGACCAGAAAGCCAACAGCCUGCUGCGUAAACAUUUUGGGUACUCCGGGUUGAAAAGUUUUCAAAUGGAAGCUCUUGGUGCUUGGUUUUCUCAGCAAGACUGUCUUGUUCUUGCAGCAACAUGGUCUGGUAUUUAUUUUCUGAUUCUUAUUCUCCCUUUUCUGUGCAUUUCUUCUUGAAUCCUUUGUACAAUGUAUAUACUGUGUCAAUGUUUUUGAGGCUUUAAUGUUUCUACAGGGAAAUCUCUGUGCUUUCAGCUACCUGCGCUUUUUCUUUUCUUAAUAAGGGUGAAUAUGUAUUGCCUUUGUUGCUAAGAAUGUGAUUGUUCUGCUAUUUUUGUUUGUUUUCUUUGGGCUGAUUACAUUAUGAGCAAUGUCGAUAUUUAGCUAGUUUAUUGUAAUAUUUACUUAAACUUUUAUGUUUAAAGUGUAGUUAGGUUAUCAACAUGUUGGUUGAUCUAUGGUGAAUUUGCCUUUUAUUGGGUUGUAAACUGUUUUGACAGGUAUAUAUUAAUGUAUUAUAACAUUCCCGGUAUUGGGGAGGGUCAAAUUACAAAGGAAA